CUCCUCCCUGUGUCCUCCUCACCUCCCCCUCCCUGUGUUCUCCUCACCACCCACCCUCCCUGUGUUCUUCUCAGUCCCCCCCUUCUCCUCAUCUCCCCUUCUCCUCACUCUUACUCUCCCCCUCCUCCUUGUGUUCUUCUUACUCCCCCCUUGUUCUUCUUACCCCCCGUUUUUCAUACCCCCCUUCUUCUUCUUACUCCCCCUCCUCCUCCUUCUGUUACUCCCCCCUCCUUCACUUACUCCCCC